rnacentral:rRNA from 1 species
CAGUGCCAGCCGCCGCGGUAAUACGAAGGGGGCUAGCGUUGUUCGGAAUUACUGGGCGUAAAGCGCGUGUAAGCGGGUCUUUAAGUCAGGGGUGAAAUGCCAAGGCUCAACCUUGGUACUGCCUUUGAUACUGGAGAUCUUGAGUCCGGGAGAGGUGAGUGGAACUGCGAGUGUCGAGGUGAAAUUCGUAGAUAUUCGCAAGAACACCAGUGGCGAAGGCGGCUUUCUGGACUGUUACUGACGCUGAGGCUAGAAAGCCAGGGGAGAGAACGGGAUUAGAUACCCCGGUAGUCCUGGCAGUAAACGAUGAAUGCUAGGUGUAGGAGGUAUCGACCCCUCCUGUGCCGGAGUUAACGCAAUAAGCAUUCCGCCUGGGGAGUACGGUCGCAAGACUGAAACUCAAAGGAAUUGACGGUU